GCGGUAAAACCAGCACCUCAAGUGGUCAGGAGGAUUAUUGGGCCUAAAGCAUCCGUAGCCGGCCGUGUAAGUUUUCGGUUAAAUCUAUACGCUCAACGUAUAGGCUGCCGGGAAUACUGCAUAGCUAGGGAGUGGGAGAGGUAGACGGUACUCGGUAGGAAGGGGUAAAAUCCUUUGAUCUAUUGAUGACCACCUGUGGCGAAGGCGGUCUACUAGAACACGUCCGACGGUGAGGGAUGAAAGCUGGGGGAGCAAACCGGAUUAGAUACCCGGGUAGUCCCAGCUGUAAACAAUGCAAACUCAGUGAUGCACUGGCUUGUGGCCAGUGCAGUGCCGCAGGGAAGCCGUUAAGUUUGCCGCCUGGGAAGUACGUACGCAAGUAUGAAACUUAAAGGAAUUGGC
rnacentral:rRNA from 1 species